GACGAACCGUGCGAACGUUGUUCGGAAUCACUGGCUUAAAGGGCGCGUAGGCGGGCCAUAAAGUCAGGGGUGAAAUCCUCCAGCUUAACUGGAGAACUGCCUUUGAUACUGGAUGGUCUCGAGUAAGGUAGGGGCAUGCGGAACUGAUGGUGGAGCGGUGAAAUGUGUUGAUAUCAUCAGGGAACUCCGGUGGCGAAGGCGGCAU
rnacentral:rRNA from 1 species